GCCUCCCUCCCUCGUUUUACUACAUUGUAGCCAUUUCCGUUUGCUUGGACAUUGUUAAAGCUGCCUCCACCGUCUCCGUCGCCGCCGGGAGAACAAUAGGAAGGCAGGAGGGGCGACCGGGGCGCCCACCCCGGCUGCGCCCCGGGAAUCUUCAGCCAUACUUGUGGAUGUAACCCUCCCCCACCACAAAGCUGAGCAGACAGACACCAUUUCAAUCGGUGGGAAUAUGAACCAGCAACAAAGAAUGGCUGCAGCAGGAACCGAUAAAGAAUUAAGCGACCUUCUAGAUUUCAGUAUGAUGUUUCCCUUGCCAGUGACUAAUGGAAAAAACAGACCCACGACUCUCGGUAGCACGCAGUUUGGUGGAUCAGGUAUUGCUUAACUUUCUCUUCCCUUUGGGGA